AACGAACGCUGGCGGCAGGCUUAACACAUGCAAGUCGAACGCCCCGCAAGGGGAGUGGCAGACGGGUGAGUAACGCGUGGGAAUCUACCCAUCCCUACGGAACAACUCCGGGAAACUGGAGCUAAUACCGUAUACGCCCUACGGGGGAAAGAUUUAUCAGGGAUGGAUGAGCCCGCGUUGGAUUAGCUAGUUGGUGGGGUAAAGGCCUACCAUGGCGACGAUCCAUAGCUGGUCUGAGAGGAUGAUCAGCCACAUUGGGACUGAGACACGGCCCAAACUCCUACGGGAGGCAGCAGUGGGGAAUAUUGGACAAUGGGCGCAAGCCUGAUCCAGCCAUGCCGCGUGAGUGAUGAAGGUCUUAGGAUUGUAAAGCUCUUUCACCGAUGAAGAUAAUGACGGUAGUCGGAGAAGAAGCCCCGGCUAACUUCGUGCCAGCCGCCGCGGUAA
rnacentral:rRNA from 1 species